CGCCUGGCAGUCGGCCGGCGCGGACGGAGGCGGGGCGGGGGCGGGAGCGCCGGGUCCGCGUUCGGGAGCGGAGACUAGAGGUGUCGGUUGGGCCUCCAGCACUACAGAGCACGGAGCGGAGGUAGGGGGUAGGCUGGAUUCGCGCCUGCGCGUUGGAAACCAUGACAACCCCGGGCGGUCGGAGGCGGUGGGGCUUGGCCACCGCCGGGUUCCUGUCACAGAGAGAGAGAGAGAGAGGCAGAGACACAGGCAGAGGGAGAAGCAGGCUCCAUGCACCGGGAGCCCAACGUGGGAUUCGAUCCCGGGUCUCCAGGAUCGCGCCCUGGGCCAAAGGCAGGCGCCAAACCGCUGCGCCACCCAGGGAUCCCCACCGUCCCAGCAAAUUACGGCCGGAGAAGGGGGUCGUGAGAACCCCGACUUACAGCUGGGGGGCCAGCAGCAGGCUGACAGCCUGGACCUGUGGGUGGCCUCUGAGGUGGGGGUGGGCUCGUGGGACAAGGCCCUCAGUCCCGGGGCCUGCCCUUGAGCAGUGUCAGGACUGAGUGAAAUCGUAGGAUGCCCGCUGGGUGCCCGCGGAGGAGGAGGAUGGCUGGCUGCGGACACCCCACGCGUCGGUGCCCGUGUUGUGUGCACAGUGUUGCUCUACUUUACCUCAGGCUCAAACCCAAUGGGCCGGUCUCCUGCUCCCGGGUCCUAUGGCCCUGCCUCGGGCCUCGGGCGAGACCUACAUACUCAGCAGGUCUCCUCCCCUGCUCCGCCCCCCCCCCCAGCACUUGCCACAUUUUGGUCACUGUGGGCUGGACGCUGCGCGAGCUACCCACGCACAACACGCCCCCCCAAGCUCAGCCAGAGAAGCCUGGCCCUCGGUGUCUGCAGUGUGUGAGUACUUGCACACGCGUGUGACUACUUGUACACACAUUUUCCAGAUGUCUGUCGGACUCUGGGAGGGCCAGGGACUCGCAGUGAACUUGCGACAGUGGGCGCCUGGGAAUGUCUCCCCCCCCCCCCCCCCACGGCCUGUGCUGCAUGGCCUCCUGGAGUUUUUCUCCUGAGGGGAAGCCCAGCUCCCAUGCAGCCCUCCGGAGCCUCCUCCAGCCCUGUGUGCAGGGUACUGGCCGGGCCACCUCCAGUGAGUGUCCACCCGCACCGUGAGCACACAGGAGCUCCCCUGCCCGGCUGCCCACGGCCACUGCGCCUCAUUCGCUGGCUUCCUACAGCUGCCGUGACAAAGCGCCCCAAACCUAGUGGUUUGAAACAACAGAAGUUUAUUUCCCCAUACUUCUGGAGACCAGAAGUGCAAGAUAAAGUGGUCUGCUCCCUCCCAAGGUCCUCCAGGAAGACGCUCUGUCACCGUGUGCAGCUGCUGGAGGCUGCAGGCACUGUCCAGCCUGUGGCCACCUCUGCGUCCACUAUCACCUAGUCUUCUCUGUACCUGUGUCCAAACAUCCCCCUCAUUUCUCCUUCAAAGACACGUUACUGGAGUUAGGGCCCAUGCUGGUCCAGGAUGGCCUUAUCAUGAAACCUUGCCUGA